GGUGAACGCUGGCGGUAGGCCUAACACAUGCAAGUCGAACGGCAGCACAGUAAGAGCUUGCUCUUACGGGUGGCGAGUGGCGGACGGGUGAGGAAUACAUCGGAAUCUACUUUUUCGUGGGGGAUAACGUAGGGAAACUUACGCUAAUACCGCAUACGACCUACGGGUGAAAGCAGGGGAUCUUCGGACCUUGCGCGAUUGAAUGAGCCGAUGUCGGAUUAGCUAGUUGGCGGGGUAAAGGCCCACCAAGGCGACGAUCCGUAGCUGGUCUGAGAGGAUGAUCAGCCACACUGGAAGUGAGACACGGUCCAGACUCCUACGGGAGGCAGCAGUGGGGAAUAUUGGACAAUGGGCGCGAGCCUGAUCCAGCCAUAGCGCGUGGGUGAAGAAGGCCUUCGGGUUGUAAAGCCGUUUUGUUGGGAAAGAAAAGCAGCAGGUUAAUACCCCGCUGUUCUGACGGUACCCAAAGAAUAAGCACCGGCUAACUUCGUG
rnacentral:rRNA from 1 species